GACGAACGCUGGCGGCGUGCCUAAUACAUGCAAGUAGAACGCUGAAGGAGGAGCUUGCUUCUCUGGAUGAGUUGCGAACGGGUGAGUAACGCGUAGGUAACCUGCCUGGUAGUGGGGGAUAACUAUUGGAAACGAUAGCUAAUACCGCAUAAUAGCAGUUGUUGCAUGAUAACUGUUUGAAAGGUGCAAUUGCACCACUACCAGAUGGACCUGCGUUGUAUUAGCUAGUUGGUGGGGUAACGGCUCACCAAGGCGACGAUACAUAGCCGACCUGAGAGGGUGAUCGGCCACACUGGGACUGAGACACGGCCCAGACUCCUACGGGAGGCAGCAGUAGGGAAUCUUCGGCAAUGGACGGAAGUCUGACCGAGCAACGCCGCGUGAGUGAAGAAGGUUUUCGGAUCGUAAAGCUCUGUUGUAAGAGAAGAACGAGUGUGAGAGUGGAAAGUUCACACUGUGACGGUUUCUUACCAGAAAGGACGGCUAA
rnacentral:rRNA from 1 species